rnacentral:tRNA from 1 species
AGGCCAUACCCGGGUUCGAACCGGGGUCUUCGCAGUCAAAGUGCGACGUCAUUACCACUAAACUAUAAGGCC